ACAAAAAGACCAAAAAAAUUUUAUUGCUUUACAACAAGCCAGCAACAAACACAACUGAAUAGUUAUAAACAUGACACUUCUAAAUCCUCAAAUGGAAUUCCAAGACCAGAGUGUGCUUCUCCACUUUAAUAGCAUUUGUUAAAACUGAAAUCCACAACUUCUGGCAAGUACUUCAAUAUUCUCAAGCAGAAUCAAUACUUAAAGAGGUUAAAAGAAAAAACUAUUAUCAAACGUAUUGUCUGUGGGAUGAUCUAAUUUAAAAGCCUUUCAUGCUUGAUCCUGGCAGUGCUAUUACUGCACAUUUUAAGUGACCAUCAUGGGCACUUUUAAGAACCUAACUUCACAAAAAGAGCUGUCACAAG
rnacentral:lncRNA from 1 species